rnacentral:rRNA from 1 species
UACGUAGGGGGCGAGCGUUGUCCGGAUUCAUUGGGCGUAAAGAGCUCGUAGGCGGCUUGGCAAGUCGGGUGUGAAACCUCCAGGCUCAACCUGGAGACGCCACUCGAUACUGCCAUGGCUUGAGUCUGGUAGGGGAUCACGGAAUUCCUGGUGUAGCGGUGAAAUGCGCAGAUAUCAGGAGGAACACCGGUGGCGAAGGCGGUGAUCUGGGCCAGUGCUGACGCUGAGGAGCGAAAGCGUGGGGAGCAAACAGG